GGUCGUGUAGCCGAGGUCCUUGAGGCGCCGGGCGAUCUCCUCGGUCAUCGCGACGCUGCGGUGCUUGCCGCCGGUGCAGCCGACGGCCACGGUCA
rnacentral:tRNA from 1 species